GCGAGAUUGGACGUGUGGCAGUGCAGCACCCGAAGCCGUGGCGUGAGGAGGAAGCGGAUAGCUGCUGCGUCUCAUAAGUGGUGCCGAGAAGACAGAGGAAGAGAAGGUCCUGCCCGUCAUCGACCUGAGCCUGGCCAAGGGUCACACGCGGGCCGGCCUGGUGAAGGAGCUGCACGAGGCGCUCACCACCGUGGGCUUCAUCUACCUCAAGAACGUGGACGGCUACGACGAGGAGGCGCUGCUGCGACACUCCAAGUGGUUCUUCAGCCUGCCGAUGGAGCAGAGGAUGGCCAUCUCCAAGAAGUCUUUCAACCCUAAGUGCAGCAACGAGUACCGCGGAUACUUUCCUGUCAUCCCCGGCGCCGUGUCCCACAAGGAAG